UAAUGCUGUCCCUGGAGAAGAUGUUUUCAUUUGCUUGAGCGACACGCAUGAUGAACAGCAACAAUGCCUCAAACACAUCAUUCUUUCACUCAGGAAAAAGGAGCAAAAAUAAUGACUCAUCUUUUACAUACUGUAGGGCUGUCUGUCUCCCUCUCUACACUUACGGCAUCCACACCUCUCCCCGUGUCAGCGUCGUACGCCUGCUCUUCUCAACAGCUUUGGUGAGGAGACUGUGUCAGGUCAAUUAACAGUGCUGCUCCGUACAUUUUCCACCUGACUCUUCCCAUUAGCACCACUGAGAUACACAACAGCAAAGAGCGUGCAACCACACCUUCAGUGUAAGCAUUUCUUCCCUGCUUUAACAGAAUUUUUCUCCUUUUUCUGUAAGUCAGGAUGCUGUUUUCUAAGCUUUUUUCCCCCUUUAUCUCUCUUCCUCAUUUGGUUUAAGUUGCGGUUGAGCAGCGGAAAGGCCACCUGCAUGACACGCCGCUGUUGUCAUAUUUUCUAAUUACAGAGCAACAGGAAACUAGAGUUUGUGUCGAUGUGAGGGCGUGUGUGCUAGUGGACAAUGUGACCGCACAGAGAGUCUGUUUAUGCCAUCUGUGGCCGAUUCCAAACAAAAUCCUCCUGCAGAAUGAACCAUCCCCAAUCCAUUGGAAGUGUGUGAUUUCAUACUAUCCCGUGAGCUCGGUAAGGCUACCAUGUGACCUAUUGUGACCAGUAAACAGAAAGCAAUGAUGCAUUUUAAACUCAGUGUUUACAGAUGGUUUGCUAUAACCAAGAGAUAUAUAUCACAAUUUGCAUACUAUACAGUACAUACUGUAUAUGAUAUGGACGCUUGUUUCCACAUGGAAUUAAAAAUAAAAAAGGUAAUUGUGACUUUUUAUCUCUUUUU
ensembl:lncRNA